rnacentral:tRNA from 1 species
GUCAGGAUGGCCGAGCGGUCUAAGGCGCCAGACUCAAGGUAUUUCCUUACCCACUUUGAAUGGGUUGAUGGGUGUUCUGGUCCACGGAUGUGGGCGUGGGUUCGAAUCCCACUUCUGACA